AUGUCCCCGGGUGUUGUGCCACAUUUCAACACAGACGGCGGUGAGGGGUCAAUGUUGUCGGGGUCACUGGUCGGUACCACGUGGGGACGUAAAAACCGGCGUUUACAAUGGACAAUUGAUACUUCGCGCGUCAUAUACGUUACGUUGAGACACUUUUAGGGCUAAAUAGUUGUGUCUAUUGAGGUCUAACUGCUUGUGAAAGUAGGCUACUGUUUUGUCAACUCCAGCACACUAGGAAGCGAGGUUAACCUGUAAUGGAGCUAGGCUUGACUGGGGUGUUUAAAAAAAGCUUUCGCACGAACGUCGAAUAAUUUCCUAGUUUCUCUAACUAACUUCAUUUUUGUAUUUUUUUGUAUUUUUUUAUCUCAGGGAAUAUAUUUUCUUUUAAACGAAUUUAUUUACGAACGUGGCGUAAUAAAUAUAAGCUGGUAUCAUUUGUAGUUUGAUUGGCGAACUUCGAGAGGUGGUGUAACUGGCUUGGUUUAAAUGUACCAACACGGUAUUUACUAACUAUCAUAGACAACCGUAGUCGGUGAACUCUGAACUCCCAAUAAAAUGUAACAGUGUCUGGAUUGUUUUCACCAGCACCUCGUUGAAUAAACGUAAGCUACAAUAUGAGCAGCGGAAAACCCUCUUUGGUUGAUGGCGAAAUCAACGACAAUGAAAAUGUGUCCGAUUUGGAAAAAAAUAAAAUGAUGUUGUCUGCCGGUGACAGCGAGGAGGUGCGUCUGGAGAACAAUAUACAACUCAACCGGAACGGUGACGAUACAACCAAAACGAUAAAACUAUACAAGCGGAGAUGGUUCAUCGUGCUGCUGUUCAGUUCCUAUUCUCUCUGUAACUCUUUCCAAUGGAUCCAGUACGGAAUUAUCAACAACAUUUUCAUGCGGUUCUACGGGGUAGAGUCUUUUACUAUAGAUUGGAUGUCUAUGAUCUACAUGUUGACUUACAUCCCCUUCAUAUUCCCGGUCACCUGGUUACUGGAUAAGAAGGGUCUCCGUAUUAUUGCGCUGAUGGCUACGGCCAUGAAUUGUGCGGGGACUUGGAUCAAGGUGACAAGCGUGAGACCGGGUCUGUUUGCGGUGACCAUGCUCGGACAGUUCUGUUGUUCCCUUGCGCAGGUAUUUAUCCUCGGGAUGCCGUCGAAGAUCGCCUCGGUGUGGUUCGGGUCAGAGGAAGUGUCCACCGCUUGCUCCAUCGGGGUCUUUGGAAACCAGUUGGGUAUAGCCAUUGGGUUCCUGGUCCCUCCCAUCCUGGUGCCUAACGUUGAGGACAUGGAUCAGCUGGCCCAUCACAUCAGUAUCAUGUUCUACAUCACAGCAGGAGUUGCUACCCUGCUCUUCCUACUGGUCGUCAUAGUGUUCCAGGAGCGUCCGGAGCUCCCUCCCACCCAGGCUCAGGCGACAGCUCGCUGCAUCCCCCCUGAACAGUACUCCUACACAGCCUCCAUCCUCAGGCUGCUCCGAAACAAACCCUUCCUCCUCCUCAUCCUCACAUACGGACUGAACGUGGGCUGUUUCUAUGCUGUUGGCACACUACUGAACCGCAUGAUCAUCGAGCAUUACCCUGGUGAGGAGUUGAAUGCAGGGAGGAUAGGUCUCACCAUCGUUAUCGCUGGCAUGGUGGGGUCGCUGAUCUGUGGCAUCUGGUUGGACAGAACCAAAACAUACAAACAGACUACCCUGGCUGUCUACCUCAUGUCCUUCGUAGGGAUGUUGGUCUACGCCUUCACCCUCAGUCUGGGUCAUCUCUGGGUAGUCUUCCUCACUGCUGGAGCUCUGGGGUUCUUCAUGACAGGCUAUCUUCCCCUGGGCUUUGAGUUUGGUGUGGAGCUAACCUACCCCGAGUGUGAAGGCACCUCUUCAGGCCUGCUCAACUGCUCUGCACAGGUGUUUGGUAUCAUCUUCACUAUCUGCCAGGGGAAGAUAAUAGAUAACUACGGGACGCUGGCAGGAAACAUCUUCCUCUGUGUCUUCCUCUUCAUCGGAUCAGUCCUUACAGGCUUCAUCAAGUCAGACCUGCAGAGACAGAAGGCUAACCAGUUGGCCAAGGCAGCUGAGGACGGACUGCUCUCUGGACAGCAGCAAGGCUACGGGGCCACGGCUCUAAUCAAGAGACUGGACAGCCCUUCUGAUUCUUCUCAGACUUGAUCACUAACCCGCAUCCCCCCCCCCCUAACGCUUACACUCUUAGCUCGAACCUCAGACGAGCCAAGGUAGGGGCACAGCAAACCGAACCAACAAUCACCACACGCUUCUCUGUCCACUAUUCUCUUAAGGGUGAAUCCUAACUUCCUGUUUAAGUCAGAUUAGAAUGCAGUCUCUGCAUUUUGACAUUUGUGCAUAAACAAGUGGAAGUCAGGAUUCCCUCUUUUAUCUGAACCUCUUUCACUUUUGACCAAAAAAGGGGUCGAGAUUUCCUGGAAGUUUUUUUAUUACUAAGAUGUGUCUUUUCUAAUUGGCUAAAAGUCAUAGGAAGCUUUCUGGAAAAAUGUUACCCCUCACAUCUCAAUCCUCUUUUCCCCUCACAUCUCAAUCCUCUUUUCCCCUCACAUCUCAAUCCUCUUUUCCCCUCACAUCUCAAUCCUCUUUUCCCCUCACAUCUCAAUCCUCUUUUCCCCUCACAUCUCAAUCCUCUUUUCCCCUCACAUCUCAAUCCUCUUUUCCCCUCACAUCUCAAUCCUCUUUUCCCCUCACAUCUCAAUCCUCUUUUCCCCUCACAUCUCAAUCCUCUUUUCCCCUCACAUCUCAAUCCUCUUUUCCCCUCACAUCUCAAUCCUCUUUUCCCCUCACAUCUCAAUCCUCUUUUCCCCUCACAUCUCAAUCCUCUUUUCCCCUCACAUCUCAAUCCUCUUUUCCCCUCACAUCUCAAUCCUCUUUUCCCCUCACAUCUCAAUCCUCUUUUCCCCUCACAUCUCAAUCCUCUUUUCCCCUCACAUCUCAAUCCUCUUUUCCCCUCACAUCUCAAUCCUCUUUUCCCCUCACAUCUCAAUCCUCUUUUCCCCUCUUGUCCUUCCAUCUUCACUUUCCACCUCACGCUCCAGAUUCCAUGAUUUAUGCACAGCUUCUGAUCAUUUCACCUGUUCGUAGUAUCUCUGUAGUACAAUAGGAUGUAUGUAGUAUCUCUGUAGUAUAAUAGGAUGUACAAUAGGAUGUGUGUAGUAUCUCUGUAGUAUAAUAGGAUGUACAAUAGGAUGUGUGUAGUAUCUCUGUAGUAUAAUAGGAUGUAUGUAGUAUCUCUGUAGUAUAAUAGGAUGUACAAUAGGAUGUGUGUAGUAUCUCUGAUGUACAAUAGGAUGUGUGUAGUAUCUCUGUAGUAUAAUAGGAUGUACAAUAGGAUGUGUGUAGUAUCUCUGUAGUAUAAUAGGAUGUACAAUAGGAUGUGUGUAGUAUCUCUGUAGUAUAAUAGGAUGUACAAUAGGAUGUGUGUAGUAUCUCUGUAGUAUAAUAGGAUGUACAAUAGGAUGUGUGUAGUAUCUCUGUAGUAUAAUAUGAUGUAUGUAGUAUCUCUGUAGUAUAAUAGGAUGUACAAUAGGAUGUGUGUAGUAUCUCUGUAGUAUAAUAGGAUGUAUGUAGUAUCUCUGUAGUAUAAUAGGAUGUACAAUAGGAUGUGUGUAGUAUCUCUGUAGUACAAUAGGAUGUAUGUAGUAUCUCUGUAGUAUAAUAGGAUGUGUGUAGUAUAAUAGGAUGUAUGUAGUAUCUCUGUAGUAUAAUAGGAUGUGUGUAGUAUCUCUGUAGUACAAUAGGAUGUGUGUAGUAUCUCUGUAGUAUAAUAGGAUGUGUGUAGUAUCUCUUUAGUAUAAUAGGAUGUGUGUAGUAUCUCUUUAGUAUAAUAGGAUGUGUGUAGUAUCUCUUUAGUACAAUAGGAUGUGUGUAGUAUCUCUGUAGUAUAAUAGGAUGUACAAUAGGAUGUGUGUAGUAUCUCUGUAGUACAAUAGGAUGUAUGUAGUAUCUCUGUAGGAUAAUAGGAUGUGUGUAGUAUCUCUGUAGUAUAAUAGGAUGUGUGUAGUAUCUCUGUAGUAUAAUAGGAUUUAUGUAGUAUCUCUGUAGUAUAAUAGGAUGUAUAAUAGGAUGUGUGUAGUAUCUCUGUAGUACAAUAGGAUGUAUGUAGUAUCUCUGUAGGAUAAUAGGAUGUGUGUAGUAUCUCUUUAGUACAAUAGGAUGUAUGUAGUAUCUCUGUAGUAUAAUAGGAUGUACAAUAGGAUGUGUGUAGUAUCUCUGUAGUAUAAUAGGAUGUAUGUCGUAUCUCUGUAGGAUAAUAGGAUGUGUGUAGUAUCUCUUUAGUACAAUAGGAUGUAUGUUGUAUCUCUUUAGUAUAAUAGGAUGUGUGUAGCAUCUCUGUAGUAUAAUAGGAUGUAUGUAGUAUCUCUGUAGGAUAAUAGGAUGUAUGUAGUAUCUCUUUAGUAUAAUAGGAUGUGUGUAGUAUCUCUGUAGUAUAAUAGGAUGUGUGUAGUAUCUCUGUAGUACAAUAGGAUGUAUGUAGUAUCUCUGUAGGAUAAUAGGAUGUGUGUAGUAUCUCUUUAGUAUAAUAGGAUGUAUGUAGUAUCUUUGUAGUAUAAUAGGAUGUAUGUAGUAUCUCUGUAGUAUAAUAGGAUGUAUGUAGUAUCUCUGUAGUACAAUAGGAUGUAUGUAGUAUCUCUGUAGUACAAUAGGAUGUAUGUAGUAUCUCUGUAGGAUAAUAGGAUGUGUGUAGUAUCUAUUUAGUAUAAUAGGAUGUGUGUAGUAUCUCUGUAGUAUAAUAGGAUGUGUGUAGUAUCUCUGUAGUAUAAUAGGAUGUGUGUAGUAUCUCUGUAGUAUAAUAGGAUGUGUGUAGUAUCUCUGUAGUAUAAUAGGAUGUGUGUAGUAUCUCUUUAGUAUAAUAGGAUGUAUGUAGUAUCUCUGUAGUACAAUAGGAUGUGUGUAGUAUCUCUGUAGUAUAAUAGGAUGUGUGUAGUAUCUCUGUAGUAUAAUAGGAUGUGUGUAGUAUCUCUGUAGUACAAUAGGAUGUAGUAUAAUAGGAUGUGUGUAGUAUCUCUGUAGUACAAUAGGAUGUAUGUAGUAUCUCUGUAGGAUAAUAGGAUGUAUGUAGUACAAUAGGAUGUGUGUAGUAUCUCUGUAGUACAACAGGAUGUGUGUGGUAACUCAUGUUUGUGUAGUUGGGUCUAUAAAUACACUGAGUGGACAAAACAUUAAGAACACCAUCCUAAUAUUGAGUUGCACCACUUUUGUCCGGUGUUCCUAAUGUUUUGUACACCCAGUGUACAUUCUAUUUUAUGUAGCAUAUUAUGUUUAUUGGUAUUUUAGUUUUUCCGUUAUGUUGCCACGGAUACUAAAACAGUUGGUCUACUUGCUCUUGUAAUAAUAUUAGUUGCAAAAUUCUAGUUUCGAGGGGGGAAAAAAGUUUGGUUUCCAUAAAUCCUGGUUGUGAGAUUCCUGGAGAUGUUAGGAAAGAACUUUGUAACCCAUGGUCUUAGGCUGGAACGUGAUUGACAAAUUGUUUUGAUUGACAGGCCCCUUCAGAUCCCGAGGACGGGACCCUCCCUGCCUCCGCAGUCCUCGAAGGAACCAGGUUUUAGAGACGGACGAUCUGCUGGAGACACACACACACACACACACACACACACACACACACACACACACACACACACACACACACACACACACAGUAAAUCACCAGCAUCUCCCACCCUGUGGAAUGUGAAGUUUAGGGGAGGAGCACAAUCAGGAAGUGUUUAUGACCACUUCCCUUUAACACUGUCCAAAAAUACAUAUUAUUUCUGUGUAAUUUCUAGAUGUGCCAUAUCUAAUCUACAAAAUGUUUACUGUCCAAAAUUAGCACAAAUAAUACUGUCGUUCUACAGUAUACACUGAGUAUAGAAAACAUGAACACCUGCUCUUUCCUUGACAGACUGACCAGGUGAAAGAUAUGAUCCCUUAUUGAUGUCACUUGUUAAAUCCACUUCAAGGAAAGAAGUGAAAAGUGAAAGAAGGAUUCUUCAGACAUGGAUUGUGUUGUGUGUGCCAUUCAAAAUAUACAUAUACCUAUAAUAUAAUAAUAUAAUAAUAAUAUAUGCCAUUUAGCAGACGCUUUUAUCCAAAGCGACUUACAGUCAUGUGUGCAUACAUUCUACGUAUGGGUGGUCCCGGGAAUCGAACCCACUACCCUGGCGUUACAAGCGCCAUGCUCUACCAACUGUGCUACAGAAGGACAUGGAUUGUGUUGUGUGUGCCAUUCAAAAGGUGAAUGGGGCAAGACAAAAUAUUUAUGUGCCUUUGAACAGGGUAUGGUAGUAGAUGGCAGGUGUACCGGUUUGUGUCAAGAACUGCAAUGCUGCUGGGUU